ACUGUCAGGCGAGCUACGGCUCGGGCCAGGCUGGGCGGGCGGCGCGUCGGGACCGGGGGGGGCGGGCAGGGCGCGUCCCCUACCUUGCUCUGGGGAGGGGGAACGGGAGCAGCGCAGAACUGAGGGGAUCUCCUCCCUGGCGCCGGGGACAAGCUCGAAACCGCGCCCCUCCUUCCUCCUUUCCUGUCGCCACGCCCCCCUCACCCGUACGGACCCGAGGCAAGGCCGGCGCAGGAGGCUUCACCCCCGGAACGAGUGCUUCGGCGUAGCCGUCGCUGUCGUUGUCUUCGUCGCCGCUGCAGCCGCCUGUAAAGCCGCCGGAGCCGGGCUUGAAAACAUCUCCGGUCUCGGUCCGUCUCUCACCACAGCCUCCUCGCUCCCAGGACAGCGUCGCCCCGCGAUUGGCUGCGACGCGAGCACGUGACACCCGCGGACACGUGACUACCGCGGGCACGGGACGGGCGGCGUGACCGCCCCGCCCCCCGGCGCCCGCCCCUCCUGCUGCUCAGCCAGGCUCCGCGAGCCGCAGGGCGGGGAAGCGGGACGUACCAAGCGGCAGGCGGCGGAGGGGUGCGGGCCGGAACUCCGCCCUUCGUGCUGGUCGGUCUCCACGCCCCACUCGGACUAGUGUCACCGCCUCCCCGCCGCAGACACUAUCCGACAAAGGAGGGGGAAUCAAAGGCUGGGCGAAGAGGCAGGGCAGGCGCCGGUGACGCUGCUGGGCAAGCGGGCUCUGCAGUAGCAUUUGUGGCGACCGUGGCAGUGGCUGUGACUGGAAGCUUCUGGAAAUGGCGGCGAUGAGGACCCCCACAUAGGUUUCCAAACCAGGAUGGCCAUAGCAGCCACAAAAGGAAGCAAACAAGAACAAGUCCUGAUGGAGCAAUUUAUGAAGACAGGCAGCAUAGAGGGAGAAGAACCUGUCUGUCAACCCCACACACGCUUUCCCAGUUUCAUUUUAGACGUCUCCUGAAAGCUGAGCAUUUGUUAUCUUAAAGCCUCUUACCAGUUUGGAUAGAUAUGGAUCUUCCAAAAUUAAUGAGCUCCUUAAUAUCGACACUGUUUAUCAACAUAAAGGAUCAAUUUAGGAAGAUUAUAAAAACUGAAGUUUCCGGAACAAUAAAUGGGAGAAUUAAUCGAGAGUUAUUUUACAAAUGGAGAUUCAAAGCCAAGAUUCACCCACCUAACAUCACACACACGAGUCAAUAGGAGAACCAGGACAACCCAGAUCUGCUGACUUGUGUACCUUCCUGCCAC
rnacentral:lncRNA from 1 species